GCCGAAGUGGUGGAAUUGGCAGACGCGCUGGACUCAAAAUCCAGUAGGACUCAAAUCCUGUGUGGGUUCAAGUCCCACCUUCGGCA
rnacentral:tRNA from 1 species